GGCCUWUUGAUUAUAAUUUUAGGUYUGACCUGCCCMUUGAGGUAUUAAAAGGCCGCGGUAUAUUGACCGUGCAAAGGUAGCAUAAUCAUUAGUUUUUUAAUUGAAAGCUGGAAUGAAGGGUUGAAUGAAAAAAUAACUGUCUCUAUUAUAAAGAUUGAAUUUUAUUUUUAAGUAAAAAAGCUUAAAUAUUAUUAAAAGACGAGAAGACCCUAUAGAGUUUUAUUUUUAUUGUUAAUUAAAAUUUUUAGUAUUUAAAGUUUUAUUAUCAAUAAUAAUUUAAUUGGGGUGAUUUAAAAAUUUAAAUAACUUUUUAUUUUUUUUUUCAUUAAUUUAUGUUUAGAUGAUCCAAAAUUUUUGAUUAUAAGAUUAAAUUACCUUAGGGAUAACAGCGUUAUUCUUUUUGAAAGUUCUUAUUGAUAAAAGAGAUUGCGACCUCGAUGUUGGAUUAAAAUUAAUUUUUGGUGUAGAAGCUAAAAAUUUUAAGUCUGUUCRACUUUUAAAAUUUUACA
rnacentral:rRNA from 1 species